AGCAGUAGCCGCGGGAAUACGUAGGAGGCAAGCGUUAUCCGGAAUAACUGGGCGUAAAGGGUGCGCAGGUGGUUUAGCAAGUUAGUGGUGAAAGGCAUAGGCUUAACCAAUGUAAGCCAUUAAAACUGUUUAACUUGAGUGCAGGAGAGGAAAGUGGAAUUCCUAGUGUAGCGGUGAAAUGCGUAGAUAUUAGGAGGAAUACCAGUGGCGAAGGCGACUUUCUGGACUGCAACUGACACUGAGGCACGAAAGCGUGGGGAGCAAACAGGAUUAGAUACCCCAGUAGUCCCUGUCUCUUAUACA
rnacentral:rRNA from 1 species